rnacentral:rRNA from 1 species
CAGUAGCCGCGGUAAUACGUAGGUGGCAAGCGUUGUCCGGAAUUAUUGGGCGUAAAGGGCCCGCAGGCGGUUUCUUAAGUCUGAUGUGAAAGCCCCCGGCUCAACCGGGGAGGGUCAUUGGAAACUGGGAAACUUGAGUGAAGAAGAGGAGAGUGGAAUUCCACGUGUAGCGGUGAAAUGCGUAGAGAUGUGGAGGAACACCAAUGGCGAAGGCGACUCUCUGGUCUGUAACUGACGCUGAGGAGCGAAAGCGUGGGGAGCGAACAGGAUUAGAUACCCCCGUAGUCCCUGUCUCUUAUAC